rnacentral:lncRNA from 1 species
AUUACGGACAAAUGAAAAGUUUGAUGACAAUGAAUGGUAAAGUACCUACUGGUGACAACACGAGAUAACAAUUUUUGAUCUUCUUAUCAAUAAUGCAUACACUGACUGAGCACUGCAAAUGACUGUUGUGCCCUAUACAGCCAGCACAAGGUAAAUCUGACUUAAACAGAAUGCAUUCGUACAGUUGGCUCCUUCAACUGACACAGCAGCAUGCAUCCCCACUACGUAAAGUACCCCACUACGCAGAGUAGUUAAAAGAAAUACAUAUAUAUAUGUGUUACAUAUGUGCUCAUAAGCAUAUAGGCAGACCUAAAAAGUAACCCAGGAAAGCAUUACAAAAAUGUACCCAUCCUCUGUUAAGAGUACCAAACGUCAACUUCUGACUGAGAGAUAUCGGUUAUUGUGUGUAGGCAGUCACCUAACUCUGUGUUCAGGAUUGCAGGGAGAUUAUCUGCCAUCACCUAUUGCACCUCCUCAGAUCUGAGAAGUUGUACUCUGCAGCUGUGCCUCUUUAGAAAGUAGAAACGUAGAUAACACCCUUUUGUGUUUGAAAGCCAAGCAAGUGUGAAGUUUAAUUAGAAAAAAAAUAAAGUACUUUUGGAUUCAUUAAUACUUAAGAGUAUGGGCACCAAAAUAUUUUGCAUUGUGGCAUCUCUGCUUGCAUUUAAAGAACAAGACUGUGAAUCAGUGAGCGUUUGAUGGUAGCAGUUCUAGGUUACUGUAGUGCUGCUGUUUUACAGCAUGGAAAGCCAAAUUUGUUUUCUCCAUUGGCUGUAAUAUGGGGCUUCAUGCAUUGCAUUAAUAUUAAGCACAUUCUUGGGUUAAAAGCCAGUGUCAGGGACGAGCAUCACCAAUGCCUGCCUGCUGCGAGGGCUGAGCAGCCCCCUGGAGCCACGAGCACCCCGAGUGCAGUGCAGGGAACAAAGAACACACUGAGAUCCAUGUUCUGUGCAUCACGCUCACACCAGUGUUUGCCCUCAUUUUAUAAGGAGCUGCAGCUUUAACCAGAUGCUAACUAAUAAGGAGCUGCAGCUUUAACCAGAGGUUACCCAGGUGUUCUGGUAACAGUGUGCUGAAAUGUAUUCACACCAAUUUUGAAUAAGAGAUGACCAUUACAAAAGCAGACCUAAAACAUCUCGCAAAGCAAAACAAGAACGAGGUUUUACAUUCACAACUAACCCACACGGGCAAUGAAACUAACUGGCCCCGAAACUCUGCGGCUGAAGAAGGCAGGAAAGGAAGGCUCCUGGGAGCUGAGUGCCACAUCCACCCGGAGAUGUGCGCUGCUGCGUGCCGUGCCUGUCGAGACAGCAACUUCUGCACCGCGCUCAGCCCUCACUUCGAGAGCGCGGCGACUUCGUAACGCCGUGCCACCACACCAACGGCCGCCGCUACGAGUUUUCACCAAUGCCUUUGACAGACGUUUAAUAAAUGUGCAGUGUUUGAGAGAGCGCCGUUGCCGAGCUCCCCUCCGCCCGCCGUUCGCUGCUCCAUCGCACACCCCGGGCGGCUGUGGGCGCGCAGCGCGGUGCCAAGCCGGGCUAGGACCGGACAGCGGCUCCCCUUGAAACGAACCCACCCUUCUCACGCCGUAAGGUUGGAAUCCGGCUCUCUAGGAGGAGCGUUUAAUGCCUUCAAGGUUUAUUACACACACAGCCACAAACUUUCAGAUGAGGGGAAAGAAGCAGCACAAGUUGUGCAGCGCGAGCCUGAGGUAACGACGGGAGCGCUGAGCUAGCGCCUGAAAUAAAUAACUUCGACACGACGUUACACCUUCUGUAAACGAAGAUCGCGAACUCUCGCCGAUACCACAUUGCCGGUUGUAACACCAGGCACGAGAAUUAACAGAACGGAGAGCGUUCGGCCGCCCGCACGGCUCCGAGCAGCGCCUUCUCCCCGUUCCCGUUCCCAACGCCUCACGCCCCGCAUCCCACAGAACGCGAUUUAGGCUAAAAGCCAUCGAGCCCCGCCGGCGCGCACCGACACGCGGCUCCGGCUCCGGGCACCGCCGCUCCCAGCCGCGCCCACCCCGCCGGGCAACGCCGCCCGACCCCCAAAGUUGGUCUCGGGGCUCGGGGCACUUACGAUCCGGAGGACGCCCUGGAGCACGACGAGCGGCAGCGGCUGCAGAAUCCAGACCUGAAACACUGAAGAGAUUUGGGUGGAGCAGAG